rnacentral:misc_RNA from 1 species
CAGGCUCCGUGCUCGCGCAUCGAACUGUCGCCCGUUGAACCUUUCAUUUUCUCGACCCUCWGGCUCAGUCCUGGUGCGGUGYUGCCUUGUUCCUGUGYUGCGUACCCURUAUUGYGGAAUCYAAACGUUGAAAUUGCCCCUUCUUAGCCCUUGCCUGCACAAGGCUCGGGGUGGACCUUGCGGCGGUUCAAGUGCCCCAAGCACGCCCUYGUGGCUGCUAUGGAUCACUCGUUCCCGCUCGUGCCUUCGGAUGCGGAACGCUAUGCGAUGCGAGGGGCGCACACGUUAGCCCCCGCAUGACCCUAAAAUAAGAGCAAAGCUUUGCUCCCCUAGAAUGACCAUCGUGAGCGCUCCCUCCUCCAUCYUGCCGUUCGCUCGGYGAUGGGAGGUAGCGCGUCGCGAUGCCUUCAAGGGCUGCUACCUGGUUGAUCCUGCCAGUAGUCAUAUGCUUGUCUCAAA